rnacentral:rRNA from 1 species
ACGCUGGCGGCGUGCCUAAUACAUGCAAGUCGAACGGUCUUUUCUAUGGAAGCUUGCUUCCACUGAGAAGAUAGUGGCGAACGGGUGAGUAACACGUGGGUAACCUGCCCAUAAGAGGGGGAUAACAUCCGGAAACGGGUGCUAAUACCGCAUAGUUUUUCUUGAUCGCAUGAUUGAGAAAGGAAAGACGGCCUUUGUGCUGUCGCUUAUGGAUGGACCCGCGGCGUAUUAGUUAGUUGGUGAGGUAACGGCUCACCAAGACGAUGAUACGUAGCCGACCUGAGAGGGUGAUCGGCCACAUUGGGACUGAGACACGGCCCAAACUCCUACGGGAGGCAGCAGUAGGGAAUCUUCCGCAAUGGACGAAAGUCUGACGGAGCAACGCCGCGUGAGUGAAAGAAGGUUUUCGGAUCGUAAAACUCUGUUGUCAGAGAAGAACAAGUUGGAGAGUAACUGCCCCAGCCUUGACGGUAUCUGACCAGAAAGCCACGGCUAACUACGUGCCAGCAGCGGC